rfam:Trichobilharzia regenti genome assembly, scaffold: TRE_scaffold0087977
GUACUGAUGAAGAGUCCCAAACUAAGACGAAACACCUGUCCAGUAC